UUGGUAGAGCAAAAGUCCAAAAUAUUUGAGUAAAAAUGAAAAUUCUACCAGUAUCAAUGUAUUUUAUAGAUACAUAAUAUAUCAAAAUCUGUGUUGGAACUACAGAGAGCAAAGCAUUUUCUAUUCACAAUGAAAUCUUCACUUCAGUAUUUUCCUACAGUUCACAAGCAGAUACUACACUUCAGUUUUAUUUGAAAUGAAAAUUUCAACUUCAAUUCAAAUAGCAGUAUGAAAACUCAUCAUGGUAUAUGAGACUGUGUAGAUGAUUAUUUUUAAUGGAAGUAAUGAGAAAAUAUAAAUAAAUAUGUUAAAAUAUGAAUCUUCAGUUUAUUAGUCAGUCGUUAUUUGCUUUUUUUUGUUUUUCAGAAGCCUAUUUGGAGUCUCAUUAAUGAGAAAAAAAUGUUGACUAUUGGUCUGUAUAAAGGAGGCUCUAGAAUGAAACUUCAAAAAAACAUUUGAAUAUCUCUGUUAUAUGGAUUGUCAAGGACAACUCUGAAUGCUCACAGUAGUUCAGUGGUGAACCGUGACAAAAUCAUGUGAAAAUUCCCAAGGGAAAAUAUAAAAUUAAGUGAAGAAAAAUGAAAUAUUAGAGCGUAUGUCAGAAGAAAAGCUAGAUCCAGCAGACUCAUCUCAGUUGGACUCACACUUACUGUUGUUUUUGUUCAUGUACCAUCAACUCAUAUUCCCUAACCUUCUUUGGUAUUACUUCUGAAUCUGUGUUUCCUUUGUUUGUAGUCUGUGGGCUGCUACAGUCUUUGAACACAUUAUGUGUAUAAACUGUUGUUGUUGUUGUUUAAAAAAAAAAAAAAAAAAGACAACAAUUUCAAUCAUUUUUCAAUCAAAUUUUCUGUAACUGCGCUCUUCAUUUUGUUAAUCAUCUUGAUAUAAGCUUUUUUUAAUUUAAUCAUGAUAAGGAUUUGUGAGUCAAUAGAGCAUUUCUGUCCAGUACUUUAUUGUAUAAGCUACUGUGCACAUGGGAAAAAGUUGUGCCUUUACCCAAAAUAAUGCCAUGAUUUUCCUUUUUCUCUGAGAAAAUAUUUUAGACUCUUAUCUGCCACCUGUGUAGUUUAAUGCUGCAUCCCCAUCAAGGCAAAGUGUGUGCUGUACAUGUAUAGCACAAAAGUGGGAAAUCAAACUCUUUCAGAUUACUGUAGUAUAUAUAAAAAUUGUGCUUUUACAAAAAUCAUAUUUCUGGUUGUUAAUUUACAUGACUGUUUUCAUGACCUUUUCAGAUGUAUGAGAGAUGUUUAAUAUUAUGUUAUUUCUAAAGUUAUUACAAGCCAUAUAAUCUGCUCAACUCCAUGGGUUUUGUUUUUAACUAAAUUAUUCAAUCAAUUUAUAUAUCUUGAGAAUAUUACUAAUAUUACAUUCCAAAAGCUGUCAAAUAUGAAGGUUAUCAACUCCUAAGGCAGAGAACAUCUUUUGCUUUGAGUGUAGUUACAAACAAACCAGUACCAGAAAGAGUCUACAAAAAAUAUGUACAAAAUUGAAACUACCAUCAAAGAAAGGAAACUCUCACUCCUGUUUCCCAAAAGAGUACUGAUGAAAAUAAUAUUUUUGUUUAAGUACUGUUUAAUACAACUAUUAAACACAUUGCUGUUCUACAUUUCCUUCUAGUAGUUAAAAUUAUUCUCUCCCUUUGUCAAUUUACAAAAUACAUCAUCCUUGAGGUGUCUUUUGGAGAGUUUUCUACUCCAAUAUAUAUUUAUAUAGAUAAAUAAUUAAUGGUAUAAUAAAGUAAGCCUAGAUUUGACUAUGUGUCCACUGAAAGUGUAAGGAAGAAAAUUAACAGGAGCUUGUUUCACUUUAAUAACAUAAUGGAAGCCAGUUGUUUUGUUGUUGUUGUUGUUGUUUUUGUUUGUUUGUUUGUUUGUUUUUAUAUAAAUGUAAUAUUUAAAAUGUAUUUUCUUUUUUAUUUAUUUUCUAUUAAAUUGAGAUUAGUUACUUUAAUCACCAUCUGAAAAAUACCAAAAACUGGAAAAGAAACUCCAUGAAAAUGUACUUUGUGCACUAAUAAACUGUGUUCAAACUGAGGUUUUGUAAACUGUGAAUUACUGGCCUGGAUUAACCUCAUCAGUAACCAUUACAGUCUUUUAUUUAGCAGUGAUUUAGUCUUUACUAAUUUCUGCUGAAUGGAGCUUAGACAGUUCAUAACCUGAGACAUAACAAGGGAAAAACUUGCAAAGAAAAUCCCAACAAACAUCAGAGACUCUUAGAAUUAGGAUAUAAUUAAAGAGGGAAAUAAACUGCGGCAGAUUGUUGUUUUCCUCUUUUGGAUUGGUUUGUUUUUUCUUUCCAGCAAGGUACUCCUUUGUAGCCCUGCUGUUACCAAGGUCCUCACUUACCUCUUUGCUCUGGAGAAUUACAACCCUUCAAACACCGUCUAUAUCUUUAAGACUCUCAGCCUGGCGCUUGACCUCACACUGUGGUGACAGGUCCAAAGUACCAGUCUCCACACUCGAUGCAAAUGCAGUGGUGGAAGACAUCAAGCUGAUGAGAGCUGGAAGGGCUAUGAAAAAUGAAAACAUGACAUUGUCCUGACAGAACUUCCUGAAGUACAUGCAACCAUCCUUGUGCCUGAAUACCUGACCAUUUACAGGAAGUGUUGAUUGGUUUGAGGUAGUGACAAGGACCAUCUGUGAGGUUACUGAAAAUGAUCCAGAAAAAAGUACUGGAAGAGGUGUUUGGAAAGCUGAUGGCAAGAAUACCAAUCAAGUAGUGUGCGCUUGGAGGACAAAGUGGAGGAGAAUCCCAAUGUGACGCUGCCGGGGCAUGCACACGGACAGCUUGAGCCGGCCAAAGGGAAAGGCUGUAAAUCAUACUCAGAAGGAGAUUGAUGAUGUUUGUGGAGCAUUCUCUCAGGGUGCCAAAGAGGUGUUUGUUCCUGAGGCUUAAGAAUUAUUUUUGUGGAAGGCUUUUAUCAUUAAAGUUGAUGAUGUGCCUACAACCAAGAAAAUAAAAGAACGAUGCUUGCAA